GACGAACGCUGGCGGCGUGCCUAAUACAUGCAAGUCGAACGAGAGCGACCGGUGCUUGCACUGGUCAAUCUAGUGGCGAACGGGUGAGUAACACGUGGGUAACCUGCCCAUCAGAGGGGGAUAACAUUCGGAAACGGAUGCUAAAACCGCAUAGGUCUUCGAACCGCAUGGUUCGAAGAGGAAAAGAGGCGCAAGCUUCUGCUGAUGGAUGGACCCGCGGUGCAUUAGCUAGUUGGUGAGGUAACGGCUCACCAAGGCCGUGAUGCAUAGCCGACCUGAGAGGGUGAUCGGCCACAUUGGGACUGAGACACGGCCCCAACUCCUACGGGAGGCAGCAGUAGGGAAUCUUCCGCAAUGGACGCAAGUCUGACGGAGCAACGCCGCGUGAGUGAAGAAGGUUUUCGGAUCGUAAAACUCUGUUGUUAGAGAAGAAUAAGUGCUAGAGUAACUGUUAGCGCCUUGACGGUAGCUAACCAGAAAGCCACGGCUAACUACGUG
rnacentral:rRNA from 1 species